AAUGAACGCUGGCGGCGCGCCUAAUACAUGCAAGUCGAGCGAGAAGACGUAGCAAUACGUUUGUAAAGCGGCGAACGGGUGAGGAAUACAUGGGUAACCUACCCUCGAGUGGGGAAUAACUAGCCGAAAGGUUAGCUAAUACCGCGUACGCUUCUUGGACUUCGGUUCAGGGAGGAAAGCGAUGCCGAGGGUAUCGCGCUCUUGGAUGGGCUCAUGUCCUAUCAGCUUGUUGGUGAGGUAACGGCUCACCAAGGCUUCGACGGGUAGCUGGUCUGAGAGGACGAUCAGCCACACUGGCACUGCGACACGGGCCAGACUCCUACGGGAGGCAGCAGUAAGGAAUAUUGCGCAAUGGGCGAAAGCCUGACGCAGCGACGCCGCGUGGGGGAGUGAAGGU
rnacentral:rRNA from 1 species